UACGGGGGGAGCAAGCGUUGUUCGGAUUUACUGGGCGUAAAGGGCGCGUAGGCGGUCAGCACAAGUCAGUUGUGAAAUCUCCGAGCUUAACUCGGAAAGGUCAACUGAUACUGUGCGACUAGAGUGCAGAAGGGGCAACUGGAAUUCUCGGUGUAGCGGUGAAACGCGUAGAUAUCGAGAGGGACACCUGCGGCGAAGGCGGGUUGCUGGGCUGACACUGACGCUGAGGCGCGAAAGCUAGGGGAGCGAACGGG
rnacentral:rRNA from 1 species